rnacentral:rRNA from 1 species
UUCACACAGGAAAACUUAGAGUUUGAUCCUGGCUCAGGACGAACGCUGGCGGCAUGCCUAAUACAUGCAAGUCGAGCGGAAUGAUGAGAGCUUGCUCUCUGAUUUUAGCGGCGGACGGGUGAGUAACACGUGGGCAACCUGCCCUACAGAUGGGGAUAACUCCGGGAAACCGGGGCUAAUACCGAAUAAUCAGUUUGUCCGCAUGGACAAACUCUGAAAGACGGUUUCGGCUGUCACUGUAGGAUGGGCCCGCGGCGCAUUAGCUAGUUGGUGGGGUAAUGGCCUACCAAGGCAACGAUGCGUAGCCGACCUGAGAGGGUGAUCGGCCACACUGGGACUGAGACACGGCCCAGACUCCUACGGGAGGCAGCAGUAGGGAAUCUUCCGCAAUGGGCGAAAGCCUGACGGAGCAACGCCGCGUGAGUGAUGAAGGCCUUCGGGUUGUAAAACUCUGUCUUCUGUGAAGAACCAUCCUGUGCAGAGAAAGCUCAGGACCUGACGGUAACAGAGGAGGAAGCCCCGGCUAACUACGUGCCAGCAGCCGCGGUACGC